CAGCCGCCACGGUAACACGGAGGGUGCAAGCGUUAAUCGGAAUUACUGGGCGUAAAGCGCACGCAGGCGGUUUGUUAAGUCAGAUGUGAAAUCCCCGAGCUUAACUUGGGAACUGCAUUUGAAACUGGCAAGCUAGAGUCUUGUAGAGGGGGGUAGAAUUCCAGGUGUAGCGGUGAAAUGCGUGGAGAUCAAGAGGAACACUCGUGGCGAAAGCGAGCUACUGGACAAUAACUGACGCUGAGGCUCGAAGGCCAGGGUAGCGAAAGGGAUUAGAUACCCGCGUAGUCCCUGUCUCUUAUAC
rnacentral:rRNA from 1 species